UGAUCCUGGCUCAGAUUGAACGCUGGCGGCAGGCCUAACACAUGCAAGUCGAGCGGAUGAGAGGAGCUUGCUCCUUGAUUUAGCGGCGGACGGGUGAGUAAUGCCUAGGAAUCUGCCUGGUAGUGGGGGAUAACGUUCCGAAAGGAACGCUAAUACCGCAUACGUCCUACGGGAGAAAGCAGGGGACCUUCGGGCCUUGCGCUAUCAGAUGAGCCUAGGUCGGAUUAGCUAGUUGGUGAGGUAAUGGCUCACCAAGGCGACGAUCCGUAACUGGUCUGAGAGGAUGAUCAGUCACACUGGAACUGAGACACGGUCCAGACUCCUACGGGAGGCAGCAGUGGGGAAUAUUGGACAAUGGGCGAAAGCCUGAUCCAGCCAUGCCGCGUGUGUGAAGAAGGUCUUCGGAUUGUAAAGCACUUUAAGUUGGGAGGAAGGGCAUUAACCUAAUACGUUAGUGUUUUGACGUUACCGACAGAAUAAGCACCGGCUAACUUCGUGCCAGCAGCCGCGGUAAUACGAAGGGUGCAAGCGUUAAUCGGAAUUACUGGGCGUAAAGCGCGCGUAGGUGGUUCGUUAAGUUGGAUGUGAAAGCCCCGGGCUCAACCUGGGAACUGCAUCCAAAACUGGCGAGCUAGAGUACGGUAGAGGGUGGUGGAAUUUCCUGUGUAGCGGUGAAAUGCGUAGAUAUAGGAAGGAACACCAGUGGCGAAGGCGACCACCUGGACUGAUACUGACACUGAGGUGCGAAAGCGUGGGGAGCAAACAGGAUUAGAUACCCUGGUAGU
rnacentral:rRNA from 1 species